GGCUGGAAUUGCAUGAAGAGCAUUGGAAAACUGGGUGAAGUGCCACAGCCCCUUCAUAACUAAGGAUUUCACCUCAAGGAAAGGCACAUGAAAGGACCUAGAUGUGUUAUUUUCCUCCCAGCCUUGUGGAUGGACAUCAUCUGUAUGACAUGGAUGAUGCAGUAGAGAAUAACAUACUCAGUCACACAAGGGGAAGAAAACAAGGAAGAGGAAGUAAAGAAGAUGAAAUGAAAAAUGAGCUACUGAAGAGGAAAAAAAAGAUAAAUUUCUUCCUGCAGGUCUAAGCUACUUGAGCUGCAGGGAGUUGAAGGUGUGCAUCUCCUUUUUAACAUCUUGGAUACUCCCCAAAUGUGCCAGGCUGACUUAGUGGCCAUCUGUCUGAAUUGACUGUGUUGUCCCUGGCUCAAAUGACCACCCAGCCUGAACUUUGCAAGGGGGGCUGCCUGCCUGUGGUUGGUUUCUUCCCCAAAUAGCUCUGAAGUGUGGCUUGGUGUGUGCUCACACACAAGGACGCUUUUACCAGAAGAAUGAUUCAUCUGCUGUGGUAUCCCAGAUAAAUUUCAGGAGAGCAGGCUCCCUUGGGCUGACAGUGUAUCGUUUGCCUCAGGACAAAUGCCCUCACAGCCUGUCAAGUUGGCUGAACACAGACUUCUGAAGAAUUGCACUUUUUCAACAUGUAAGAUUUCACUCAGCAUAACAAUUUUUAUUCCCAUAAUAAACGUUUUGAACAGCUUUGGAAAUUCUUUGGAAAUCCACAUGGCUGUGGCAGGAGAGGCACCACCAUCCACAGGAAGCACAAGUAUUAUAAACUCACAAGUACAAUCGCUACUUAACAGGUGUGUGUGAAACAUGAGUGAGUACGCUGAGAUGCCCCUUCACUAAUUUAUAGAAACUGAAAACUUGGUUAUUUUGAAGGCAUGAAUGUUGCAGUGGCUGUCAACUUAAUGAACAAGAAUUAUUUUUGUCUCUGUUUCUGUUUCACAAAUAAAUAAGUUGAUAAAAGAAACCUAUUGUAAGUCUUUUAAUGACCAAUUUUUCAAGCAGUCAAAACAUUGGCUUCCUGAGGAAGCCAACAGCUGAUUUUAAAAAUUGGUGGUGGGGUUUUUUUUUGUGGUUUUGUUUGUUUGUUUGUUUGUUUUGGUUUUUUGUUUUUGUUUUUAAUAGAUAUAUAUG